rnacentral:rRNA from 1 species
GAUGAACGCUAGCUACAGGCUUAACACAUGCAAGUCGCGGGGCAGCAUGGGGGUUGCUUGCCAUCCCCGAUGGCGACCGGCGCACGGGUGAGUAACGCGUAUUCAACCUGCCCUUCACCACGGGAUAACCCGGCGAAAGUCGGACUAAUACCGUAUGUUGUCCAUUGACGGCAUCCGAUUUGGACGAAAGGCUUGGCGGUGAGGGAUGGGGAUGCGUCCGAUUAGCCAGACGGCGGGGUAACGGCCCACCGUGGCUACGAUCGGUAGGGGUUCUGAGAGGAAGGUCCCCCACACUGGAACUGAGACACGGUCCAGACUCCUACGGGAGGCAGCAGUGAGGAAUAUUGGGCAAUGGGCGUAAGCCUGAACCAGCCAAGUAGCGUGCAGGAUGACGGCCCUAUGGGUUGUAAACUGCUUUUAUGCGGGGAUAAAGUGGCCCACGUGUGGGCUUUUGCAGGUACCGCAUGAAUAAGGACCGGCUAAUUCCGUG